AACGUAGGUCACAAGCGUUGUCCGGAAUUACUGGGUGUAAAGGGAGCGCAGGCGGGAAGACAAGUUGGAAGUGAAAUCCAUGGGCUCAACCCAUGAACUGCUUUCAAAACUGUUUUUCUUGAGUAGUGCAGAGGUAGGCGGAAUUCCCGGUGUAGCGGUGGAAUGCGUAGAUAUCGGGAGGAACACCAGUGGCGAAGGCGGCCUACUGGGCACCAACUGACGCUGAGGCUCGAAAGUGUGGGUAGUAAACAGG
rnacentral:rRNA from 1 species